rnacentral:rRNA from 1 species
GACGAACGCUGGCGGCGUGCUUAACACAUGCAAGUCGAACGGAAAGGCCCUGCUUUUGUGGGGUGCUCGAGUGGCGAACGGGUGAGUAACACGUGAGUAACCUGCCCUUGACUUUGGGAUAACUUCAGGAAACUGGGGCUAAUACCGGAUAGGAGCUCCUGCUGCAUGGUGGGGGUUGGAAAGUUUCGGCGGUUGGGGAUGGACUCGCGGGUUAUCAGCUUGUUGGUGGGGUAGUGGCUUACCAAGGCUUUGACGGGUAGCCGGCCUGAGAGGGUGACCGGCCACAUUGGGACUGAGAUACGGCCCAGACUCCUACGGUAGGCAGCAGUGGGGAAUAUUGCACAAUGGGCGGAAGCCUGAUGCAGCAACGCCGCGGGCGGGAUGACGGCCUUCGGGUUGUAAACCGCUUGCGCCUGUGACGAAGCGUGAGUGACGGUAAUGGGUAAAGAAGCACCGGCUAACUACGUG